rnacentral:rRNA from 1 species
CCUUUUGUAUAAUGGGUCAGCGACUUAUAUUCUGUAGCAAGGUUAACCGAAUAGGGGAGCCGGAGGGAAACCGAGUCUUAAUUGGGCGUUAAGUUGCAGGGUAUAGACCCGAAACCCGGUGAUCUAGCCAUGGGCAGGUUGAAGGUUGGGUAACACUAACUGGAGGACCGAACCGACUAAUGUUGAAAAAUUAGCGGAUGACCUGUGGCUGGGGGUGAAAGGCCAAUCAAACCGGGAGAUAGCUGGUUCUCCCCGAAAGCUAUUUAGGUAGCGCCUCGUGAAUUCAUCUCCGGGGGUAGAGCACUGUUUCGGCUAGGGGGCCAUCCCGGCUUACCAACCCGAUGCAAACUGCGAAUACCGGAGAAUGUUAUCACGGGAGACACACGGCGGGUGCUAACGUCCGUCGUGAAGAGGGAAACAACCCAGACCGCCAGCUAAGGUCCCAAAGUCAUGGUUAAGUGGGAAACGAUGUGGGAAGGCCCAGACAGCCAGGAUGUUGGCUUAGAAGCAGCCAUCAUUUAAAGAAAGCGUAAUAGCUCACUGGUCGAGUCGGCCUGCGCGGAAGAUGUAACGGGGCUAAACCAUGCACCGAAGCUGCGGCAGCGACACUCAGGUGUUGUUGGGUAGGGGAGCGUUCUGUAAGCCUGCGAAGGUGGCCUGUGAGGGUUGCUGGAGGUAUC